GGCAAAGUUCGGUCCAGAGGCGGCGGAAAGAGGAACCGUCCAGAGGGUAUUCGGAAUUACGGGGCUUAAAGGGGGCGUAGGCGGCGCGGAAAGUAGGGUGUGAAAUCCCUCGGCUUAACCGAGGAAUGGCGCGCUAAACUGCCGGGCGUGAGGAAGAUAGAGGAGAGCGGAACUUAGGGUGGAGCGGUGAAAUGCGUUGAUAUCCUAAGGAACACCGGUGGCGAAGGCGGCUCUCUGGAUCUUUUCUGACGCUGAGGCACGAAAGCUAGGGGAGCGAACGGGAUAGAUACCCCAGUAGUC
rnacentral:rRNA from 1 species